UUGUAAGGUACCGGACUUCUAAAAUAAUGAAGUUAUGGUUUAUAUUGGUUUUGAGAGCUAUUGGAAUGGUUUCGAUGAAGUUUGGAAGUAUUCGGGCGUUUUCGGAGCACGUAGGCGCGAAAAUGGAACCCGAAAGGCUAUGUUGUACUAUGAACUAAAUCUGAAAUUAGCAUGGAUGAAAAGAUGAUGAAAAUAUGCUCGAAAAUAUGUUUGGAGAGUCUCGGUUCGAUUUGAAUAGAAUUGGAGGCCAAACGAGCGAAAACGGAGCGAAAACGAAAA
rnacentral:lncRNA from 1 species